rnacentral:rRNA from 1 species
UACGUAGGGGGCAAGCGUUGUCCGGAUUCAUUGGGCGUAAAGAGCGUGUAGGCGGCCAGAUAAGUCCGCUGUGAAAUCUCGAGGCUCAACUUCGAGCUGUCGGUGGAAACUAUCUGGCUAGAGUCCGGAAGAGGAGAAUGGAAUUCCUGGUGUAGCGGUGAAAUGCGCAGAUAUCAGGAGGAACACCGGUGGCGAAGGCGGAUCUCUGGGCCUUACCUGACGCUGAGGCGCGAAAGCUAGGGGAGCGAACAGG